rnacentral:rRNA from 1 species
GAAGAAGGACGGGACUAACACCGAUAUGCUUUGGGGAGCUGUACGUAAGCGUUGAUCCAGAGAUUUCCGAAUGGGGGAACCCACUAUCUUUAGUCGGAUAGUAUCCUUACGUGAAUACAUAGCGUGAGGAAGGCAGACCCAGGGAACUGAAACAUCUAAGUACCUGGAGGAAGAGAAAGAAAAAUCGAUUUCCUGAGUAGCGGCGAGCGAAACGGAAAGAGCCCAAACCAAGAAGCUUGCUUCUUGGGGUUGUAGGACACUCUAUACGGAGUUACAAAAGAAAGUUAUAAAUGAAGCGGUCUGGAAAGGCCCGCCAAAGACGGUAACAGCCCGGUAGUUGAAAUGGCUUUCCCUCCAGAGUGGAUCCUGAGUACGGCGGAACACGUGAAAUUCCGUCGGAAUCCGGGAGGACCAUCUCCCAAGGCUAAAUACUCCCUAGUGACCGAUAGUGAACCAGUACCGUGAGGGAAAGGUGAAAAGCACCCCGGAAGGGGAGUGAAACAGUUCCUGAAACCGUGUGCCUACAAGUAGUUAGAGCCCGUUAAUGGGUG